UGUUGGUACAGCUGAUGUAAACGCGCUUUUAUUAGUAAAAAGGGGAAUCCCACAAUUCAAUAUUAUUGCUGUGAAUUAAAAGCUGCAGUCUGGUACUUUUAAUAUUGUAUUCGUGUUCGUUGAGUGUUAUUUGUUAUAAAAAUCAAAUAAAAAUAAAAGAAGUUAUGGGCCGAAAAGAAUUAACAAUUAGAGAACGGGAAAUCAUAACUGAUCUACAUGUUAGGCAAGGUAAAUCUUAUUCACAAAUAUCUGAGCUUGUAUCGCGUAGUCGGUCAUCAGUCCAAAAAGUGGUUAACCGAUAUAAUAAGGAAAACAGAGUUGAAAAUGCACCCAGGACUGGCCGCCCGCCCAAACUGAAUGAUACUGACAAGAGGAAAAUUUUGCGUAUAGUAAAAGAAAACCCAUUUGUAAGCUGCAGAAAAAUUAGUGUUGACCUUGCUGUUUACGACAACAAACAGGUUAGUGCAGAAACUGUACGAAGAGCUGUCGUAGAGAAUGGAUUUUCAUCUAGAACGCCCAGGAAGAAGCCGCUUGUGAGUGCUAUAAACAAAGAAAAGCGUAUAACAUUCGCAAAGACAUAUUGUGACAAGCCUGUGGAGUUUUGGGACAAAAUUUUAUUUUCAGAUGAGUCUAAGUUUUGCAUACUUAACGUAAAUGGGCAUAAAAGGGUCUGGGGCAGAGCAGGAGAAGCGCUCAAUCCAAAGAAUACGGUUAAAACCAUUAAACAUGGAGGCGGUGGCGUUAUGGUGUGGGGGUGCAUGGCAGCUGCGGGGGCAGGAAACCUGGUUUUUGUCGAAAAUAAUAUGGACCAGAAUACAUAUUUGGAUAUUCUACGAAAUCUUUGGUGUGAACUUGAGACUAGAAUUAGAAAAAGAAAGAUGUCAAGCAAGGCGCAGCUUAAGGAGGUUAUAUUAGAGGAGUGGAACAACAUUAGCAGCGAGCUCACCAAAAAAUUGAUGCAUUCAAUGCCUAAAAGGUUGAAAUCAGUAAUAAAAACUAAAGGAUAUCCUACAAAAUACUGAAAAAGGUGUACCUUGACUUUUGUGGACUCAAUAUAAUGGCUUAUCACCAUAUUGGCAUCAUUUUCUUUUCUUAUAUACUGAAUUUUGGUUUUGUUUUUACAUGGAUUCAAAGUUUAUUUUUUGUUGUUGAAAAUACGUUAAGAAAAUUUUACUUUUAUUUGAUUAAUAAAAGCAGAUCACACUGUUUUCAAAAAUUUACUUGCUGUACCUUCACUUCUGUGGAAGGACUGUAUGUAAAAAAUUUGAAAAACAAAAAAUUUUUUCAUAGCCGCUGUAUAAGCAGGAUUUACUCGAGAUGUUAUAUUGUUAAAAUACAUUUUUGCAUCUUUAUGUUUUGCCUCGAAACGCAUUGCCCAGACAAACUUGAGAGGACCACACUUCUCAAUUGCGUGUGGGUAGUGCACCAAAAAAUGAUGCUUAGGUUUCAAAUUACCGUAAAGUAGAAUAUAUAAUUGAUGAUGUGCUUUAAUUAAAUUUUUUAACUUAUCUAGAUCGAAAUUAGAAAAACUAGAAUCAAAUAAUAAAUCUACUAUUUCUAUUAGCAACACCAACAGUUUCCAAUGCUUCACGUCUGGUGAAAUUAAAUCUCCUAUCAUGAGUGGGAGAAAAUUUGUAAAGCAUAAAACCUCACUAGCUGUCAUUUUUAAGUUGUACGAUUGAAGUCGGUCCAUAAGGAGAGGCUGCGAAAUAUUUCCUAUUUCAAUAAUUCCAAACUGAAAAAAUUUUUUUCUGCUGUUAAUAAUGUCUAAUGAAAUAAUUUUGUCAUUUACCAAACCCAAGAUUAUGUUGCAAAUAUCAUAUACGCAAAUCCCUUCUAAAACGUCAUGCAUAACGUCAAAGCAAAUGUUAUUUGUUACGUGAAACAUUUUCAACUCAUUAAAAAUACAAACUGUUUUGACACCGGUGUCUUGAAAUUUAUUGUUAAAUAAGUCAUCUUCGUAUUUAAUUCAAGUUCUUAGCAGUUGUUCGUUUUCUGAAACAUCAAUUUUAAUUUGAUCUUUAGUAGUUGUACAUGCUCGACAGUAACGCUUGGCAUUAAAAGAUUGCACAAAACCCAAAAUACUAUUUACACCUACAUUAUCUCCAACUAUAAGGCUUAAAACGAAAUGUACUUUGAAAGUCUGAUCAAGUGAUUGAAUUAAUAUCCCUUCCUCCAAUGAUUUAAGCUCUUCAAGUAAAUGGAAGAAGGACGUUCUGUUUCCACAACAUUUCAAAUCUUUUGUAGAUAUAAAAGCAGCAUUAAAAAUAAAAUCAAGUUUUGAGAGUAUAUAUUGUGGCAUAGUAGGGAAAUUGUAAUAACAACCGCAAAUCGAGAAUGUGUGACUACCAAGAGCGUUAUUUAAUUGAAAGUCAUCAAAAUAUAAAACAUAGGGUAUUACCAGUUGAGAAUCAACUUUUAAUUUAAUUGAAUGAAAAAUUUGUCCAUUGUCCAAAAGUAGUAUCUGCUAAAAACUUUUCUGUAUUUUCUAAACUCAUUUGUAAAACAUUAGGACUCAAAAAGUGCUUUAAAUUGAAAUUUUAAUGGCAUUAUUUGAAAGCUAAGCUUUUUACUAUCGAGUGUAGGGUUUCCCUGAACAACUGUGUCAGCUAUUUCAUUAAGAAUUACAAAAGACUUUGGGCUUUCAUAUAAAUUCAUUGCCUUUAAAACUGUAAUUAUUCGAUGUUCAGAUUUUAUUUCCAUAAAUGGAUCAUCACAAAAGUUAAGAAUACAGUCAAUAUCGUUUUGUAGUUAGGGUAAUAAGUUACUGUUUGAAUUUGAAAUAACAUUUCUGAUUGUAGCAGAAACUGUUCCUAGUAAAUCUGAUACCAUGCUUUGUGUAUUUAAAACAUCUUUUCUUGGCAUGGUACUUUUUGAAUAUAGUUGCAGACAUAAAGCUAAAGACUUAUUUUUUAAAUCCGUUAUGGUUUGUUCUCUAUUUAUAUGAAAUUGUGAACUUGUGUCUGGCAUUGUUACUAUGAUAGGUUCAUCUGAUAAAAUGGGUUCAUCUAACCUAAUUCCGGAAGAUGUGGCGGGUAACUCUGUUGGUGUUUGUAAAGUGUAAAUUUUAUUCUUAUGUGUUAACAAAUAUCGCUUUAGAGAACUAAAGUUAGAAAAAAUUUGCUUACAUUUAUUUUGUUCGCAAGUUUAUCUCUAUUUGACAAUAAAUGCAUGUGUUUUAAAUGUCUUAUUAGCACAUCAACACUUUUAAAUAACUGAAAACAUCUGAAACAUUUAUACAUUAUUACAAUCGAAAAAUUUACAAAAUUUAAUUUUUUUCAUUCAUGUGUGUUAACAAUGAAGUAAUAUUUGAACUUUUUAAAUCAAAUUUUGAAUCUUAUGCCGGAAUUACAUGUGCAGAAUUCAGCGUGCAGAAAAAAAAUUUGUACUGAUUUGACAGUUCAAAUUCUGCACCUCAAUGCAGAUCUGCACGGCAUGUGAAAUUUGAAUUUCGCUGCACAGAGGCAGUGCUGACAACAUUCAAAUAAUUAAUUUUUGAGCAAAGUCCGUCAACAUUUUAAAUUGUGCUCAGCUGUUAAGUAAAAAUUAACAAAAGAAAUAAAAAAUGGAAGAAAAACUGAUUGAGUUUGUAAGAGAAACCGGUUCUUAUAUGACAAAAGUCGUAGAAAUUAUAAAAAUAGCUACCUGAGGGACGCCAAAUUUCAGGAGCUAUCCGAGAAAUUGAAUAUUCCUGGUAAAUUUUUAAUUUUAUAACCUGACAAAAUAAAUAUUUAUUCAUGUUUUGAAUGAUUUUAGGUGAGAAGCUAAAGGCCCGUUGGCUGACCCUACGUGAUAAAUUUUAUAAAGAUCUAAAAAAGGUACCAUCAGGAAGCGGUGUGUAUUCGCCACACAAAAAGUGGAAGUGGAUGAAGAGCUAACAGUUUUUAAAGGACGUUGAAAUGGACAAUUUGAACGCACAAGGCAAUUAUGGCACCUUUGGAAAAGCCUUGCCAAGCAGGCGGAGGGAGCUAAUUUAAGUAGCCUGGAAAUGUCGGAGUUCCAAUUCCAAAUUUCCCAAACAUUCCAC